rnacentral:rRNA from 1 species
AGUGAACGCUGGCGGUAGGCCUAACACAUGCAAGUCGAACGGCAGCACAGUAAGAGCUUGCUCUUACGGGUGGCGAGUGGCGGACGGGUGAGGAAUACAUCGGAAUCUACUUUUUCGUGGGGGAUAACGUAGGGAAACUUACGCUAAUACCGCAUACGACCUACGGGUGAAAGCAGGGGAUCUUCGGACCUUGCGCGAUUGAAUGAGCCGAUGUCGGAUUAGCUAGUUGGCGGGGUAAAGGCCCACCAAGGCGACGAUCCGUAGCUGGUCUGAGAGGAUGAUCAGCCACACUGGAACUGAGACACGGCCCAGACUCCUACAGGAGGCAGCAGUGGGGAAUAUUGGACAAUGGGCGCAAGCCUGAUCCAGCCAUACCGCGUGAGUGAAGAAGGCCUUCGGGUUGUAAAGCCCUUUUGUUGGGAAAGAAAAGCAGCAGGUUAAUACCCCGCUGUUCUGACGGUACCCAAAGAAUAAGCACCGGCUAACUUCGUG